rnacentral:lncRNA from 1 species
GGGGUGUGACUAUGGCUGCAGGAAAAACUUUUGGCUUCUUGGUUCCUAAAGUAAAAAAAAUUCCUGUUUGCUUAAUGUUUAUCUUGAGGAGUAAAUUGGCCUCUCCUGCCAGAGAAAACAGUCUUUGGGUUCAGCAGGUCCCGAGGCAAAGAAACUUUAUUAUUGUUUGGGUAGGAGCUGGCAAACGCCGCCAGGUGCAGUGCUUUAUACCUGACCUGAAUCUGCCUGGUUGAGGGGGGGGGCUAAACUUAAAAGCAUGCAGCUGAGGAUAAGGGCUUUGGUAGCCUGGUUUUCAUCAAAAGCUCGAGACCACAGCAGCAACCCAGCCCUGGAAGAUGGAGAGAAAAAAGUUGGGGUCCUGGAACAAACUGAAGAGUAAGAGGAAAAGUGCAGUUGGGAAACUUUGGGAGCUGUGUGAGGAGGAGAAAGAGGGGGAGAGGAACCACCUGUGCAGAGGAUGGGGGCUGUACCCCGACAUGCUGUGCCAUGGUGGAAUAUCGUGUGACAACGCCACCAGACCUGGGAGGUGUUGACCUAAGGGUGUAACAGGGUGGAAAGGCAAAGGGAGAGGUGACAUGGUCCCCACCUUCUUCUGGGGCACCGGUGGUACGAGAGCAAUGGUGGUGUCUCCCUGAAAUCCCGUGCGCUUCCCAAACCCAAAAUGAGCAUCAAAUGGAUUCUGGAUGAGAGCCUGGAACGAGAACAUGGGCUGUUGAAAUGCACCAGGAGGAAAAACCUGGGAGAAGAGUGCGGAAGAGGACGAUUCCUGGCCUCAACAGAAGGUUAUCUCAGCCCAAAGCAACCGGCAAGAGCACCGUCUAGAGGAAAAAAUGGUUUCAAAGGAGAGGAACUGAGUUGGAGGUUAUGGAAGUGCACAAGGAGACUUGGUAAGAGCAGAGCAGCUAGAAUGUGAUUUGAUUCAUUUUGGACUUGGAAUCUUGAAAGCCUACACAGCCCUGGUGU